UACGGGGGGGGCAAGCGUUGUUCGGAAUUACUGGGCGUAAAGGGUCCGUAGGUGGCCCGCUAAGUCACACGUGAAAUCCCUCAGCUUAACUGGGGAACUGCGUGUGAGACUGGCAGGCUUGAGUGCAGGAGAGGAACGCGGAAUUCCAGGUGUAGCGGUGAAAUGCGUAGAUAUCUGGAGGAACACCGGUGGCGAAGGCGGCGUUCUGGACUGUAUCUGACACUGAUGGACGAAAGCCAGGGGAGCAAACGGG
rnacentral:rRNA from 1 species